rnacentral:rRNA from 1 species
CCUACGGGUGGCAGCAGUGGGGAAUAUUGGACAAUGGGGGAAACCCUGAUCCAGCGACGCCGCGUGAGUGAAGAAGUAUUUCGGUACGUAAAGCUCUAUCAGCAGGGAAGAAAAUGACGGUACCUGACUAAGAAGCCACGGCUAACUACGUGCCAGCAGCCGCGGUAAUACGUAGGGGGCAAGCGUUAUCCGGAUUUACUGGGUGUAAAGGGAGCGUAGACGGCAGCGCAAGUCUGGAGUGAAAUGCCGGGGCUCAACCCCGGAACUGCACUGGAAACUGUGAGGCUUGAGUGCAGGAGAGGAUAGUGGAAGUCCUGGUGUAGCGGUGAAAUGCGUAGAUAUAAGGAGGAACACCGGCGGCGAAGGCGGCUGACUGGACUGUAACUGACGUUGAGGCUCGAAGGCGUGGGGAGCAAACAGGAUUAGAUACCCCUGUAGUC